rnacentral:rRNA from 1 species
GACAGAGGUCCCGAGCGUUUAGGCGGAAUCACUGGGCUUAAAGCGUGUGUAGGCGGAUGCCUAAGUACCUUGUGAAAUCCCAUGGCUCAACCAUGGAACUGCUUGGUAUACUGGGUGUCUUGAGCCCAAUUUAGGGGCUACCGGAACAAGUGGGUGGAAGCGGUGAAAUGCGUAGAUAUCACUUGGAACGCCAAUGGUGAAAACAGGUAGCUGGGAUUGUGCUGACGCUGAGACACGAAAGCCAGGGGAGCGAACGGG